CCUACGGGAGGCAGCAGUGGGGAAUAUUGCACAAUGGGGGAAACCCUGAUGCAGCGACGCCGCGUGAGUGAAGAAGUAUUUCGGUACGUAAAGCUCUAUCAGCAGGGGAGAAAAUGACGGUACCUGACUAAGAAGCCCAGGCUAACUACGUGCCAGCAGCCGCGGUACUACGUAGGGGGCAAGCGUGAUCCGGAUUUACUGGGUGUAAAGGUAGCGUAGACGGCAGCGCAAGUCUGAAGGGAAAUCCAAUGGCUUAACCAUGGAACUGCUUUGGAAACUGUGCAGCUGGAGUGCAGGAGAGGUAAGCGGAAGUCCGGGUGUAGCAGUGAAAUGCGUAGAUAUUAGGAGGAACACCAGUGGCGAAGGCGGCUUACUGGACUGUAACUGACGUUGAGGCUCGAAGGCGUGGGGAGCAAACAGGAUUAGAUACCCCGGUAGUC
rnacentral:rRNA from 1 species